UACGUAGGGUGCAAGCGUUAAUCGGAAUUACUGGGCGUAAAGCGUGCGCAGGCGGCUAUGCAAGACAGAUGCGAAAUCCCCGGGCUCAACCUGGGAACUGCAUUUGUGACUGCAUGGCUAGAGUACGGUAGAGGGGGAUGGAAUUCCGCGUGUAGCAGUGAAAUGCGUAGAUAUGCGGAGGAACACCGAUGGCGAAGGCAAUCCCCUGGACCUGUACUGACGCUCAUGCACGAAAGCGUGGGGAGCAAACAGG
rnacentral:rRNA from 1 species